rnacentral:rRNA from 1 species
UGGGGGAUAUUGCACAAUGGGCGAAAGCCUGAUGCAGCAACGCCGCGUGAGGGAAGACGGUUUUCGGAUUGUAAACCUCUGUCUUCGGUGAAGAAAAAAAUGACGGUAGCCGAGGAGGAAGCCACGGCUAACUACGUGCCAGCAGCCGCGGUAAUACGUAGGUGGCGAGCGUUGUCCGGAAUUACUGGGUGUAAAGGGAGCGCAGGCGGGGAGAAAAGUCAGCUGUGGAAACUAUGGGCUUAACCCAUAAACUGCAGUUGAAACUGUUUUUCUUGAGUGGAGUAGAGGUAGGUGGAAUUCCGAGUGUAGCGGUGAAAUGCGUAGAUAUUCGGAGGAACACCAGUGGCGAAGGCGGCCUACUGGGCUCUAACUGACGCUGAGGCGCGAAAGUGUGGGGAGCAAACA